rnacentral:lncRNA from 10 species
CAGAACCAGACUCAUCCAGGAUUAGGAAGCUGGGGCCCGGCGUGGACGGCAGGCUCGGGGCCAGGAUAGCAGCAUCAAGGAGCAUUGUGUACAUGCAGAAGUGCACAGUACCUGGAGUGAAACUGCUUGUGUUCGAUUUCUGAUACCAUUCAUAACUGGCUGUGUGAUCUCAAAACCUCUAAAAUGCAGACCUCCAGCUCUAGAUCUGUGCACCUGAGUGAAUGGCAGAAGAAUUACUUCGCAAUUACAUCUGGCAUAUGUACCGGACCGAAGGCAGAUGCAUACCGUGCACAGAUAUUACGCAUUCAGUAUGCAUGGGCAAACUCUGAGAUUUCCCAGGUCUGUGCUACCAAACUGUUCAAAAAAUAUGCAGAGAAAUAUUCUGCAAUUAUUGAUUCUGACAAUGUUGAAUCUGGGUUGAAUAAUUAUGCAGAAAACAUUUUAACUUUGGCAGGAUCUCAACAAACAGAUAGUGACAAGUGGCAGUCUGGAUUGUCAAUAAAUAAUGUUUUCAAAAUGAGUAGUGUACAGAAGAUGAUGCAAGCUGGCAAAAAAUUCA